GAUUAACGCUAGCGGCAGGCCUAAUACAUGCAAGUCGAACGGUAGUAGUAGCAAUACUAUGAGAGUGGCGCACGGGUGAGUAACGCGUAUGCAACCUGCCUAUAUCUGGGGGAUAGCUCAGAGAAAUCUGAAUUAAUACCGCAUAACAUCACUGAAUGGCAUCAUUUGGUGAUCAAAACUCCGGUGGAUAUAGAUGGGGCAGCGUGACAUUAGCUAGUUGGUAAGGUAAUGGCUUACCAAGGCUACGAUGUC
rnacentral:rRNA from 1 species